UGCCCAAUCAGCGUUGAGCUUGACCCGACGUCACUGGCAGAGAGACGGAGAGGACAGAACAGAAAUGGAGGACCAAAACCUGAUAGUAGCAGUGUGCAGCCGUCCUGUCCUGUACGACACAACGAUGGUGUCGUACAGGGACAGGAACAAAAAAGAGAGGGCGUGGGUCGACGUGGCCGAGGAUACUGGCUUUCCUGACCAGCCCAGCAGUGAGUCAGACCCAGAGGACGCUGAUGCUGCUCCUGCUCCUGCUCCUGCUCCUGCUCCUGCUCCUGCUCCUGCCCCUGUCCCUGUCCCUGCCGCUGGCCCUUCCUGUGUACCUGUCCCUGAGGCUGGCCCUGCCCCAAGACCACAGAGCGGGACGAAGAGGAAGAGAGCCAGGGUACCAGAGGGGAACACAAAUAUGCAGGGAGCCAUCCUCCAGGCCCUGCAGAGGCAAAAUGCUGUGCCUACCCCUACCCCGCUCUCUGGGAAUGAGCACUUUGUCAUGGGCCUAGUUCCUUCCCUGGAGAGAUUGCCACCUGAAGCACUGGAAGCCGUUUUGGGGUUGUUGUGCACUGCACUAUACGAUGGUGUCAUGCCACGAGAGGGUCCCUUCUGCAG
ensembl:lncRNA